AGUCGAGAAUCUUCCACAAUGGACGAAAGUCUGAUGGAGCGACGCCGCGUGAUUGAUGAAGUCCCUCUGGGACGUAAAGAUCUUUUAUGAGGGAAGAAGUUUAUUGACGGUACCUCAUGAAUAAGGGGCUCCUAAUCUCGUGCCAGCAGGAGCGGUAAUACGAGAGCCUCGAGCGUUAUCCGGAAUUAUUGGGCGUAAAGGGUGUGUAGGUUGUGGUGUUAGUCUUUCGUUAAAUCCCAGAGCUCAACUUUGGAACCGCGAAGGAAACGGCACUACUUGAGAGUGUGAGAGGUCUAUGGAACUCAUGGUGUAGGGGUGAAAUCCGUUGAUAUCAUGGGGAACACCAAAAGCGAAGGCAAUAGACUGGCACAUAUCUGACACUGAAACACGAAAGCGUAGGUAGCGAAUGGGAUUAGAUACCCCAGUAGUCUACGCCCUAAACGAUCUUCUCUAGUCUUUCGGAGUAUCGACCCUCUGAGAGGCGUAGCUAACGCGUUAAGAGAAGCGCCUGGGAAGUACGGUCGCAAGACUAAAACUCAAAGGAAUAGACGGGGACUUGCACAAGCAGUGGAUUAUGUGGUUUAAUUCGAUGGUAACCGAAAAACCUCACCAAGGUUAGAAAUCAACGUGAAAGCUCUAGGAAACUAGAGCCCUCGCAAGACUAGUUGACAGGUGAUGCAUGGCCGUCGUCAGUUCGUGGUUUGAAUUGUUCCCUUAAGUGGGGUAACGAACGCAACCCUCGUCGUGUGUUAUAUUUGUCACACGAGACCGCCCAGACCGAAGAGCACGAAAUUUGCUUCGUGAAUUUCGGUCUGGGAGGAAGGAGAGGAUGACGCCAGGUCAGCAUGUCCCUUGAUAUCUUGGGCUACACACAUAAUACAAUGACCACUACAACGCGUUGCGACGGGGUGACCCUGAGCUAAUCGUUAGAAAGGUGGCCUCAGUUCGGAUUGGAGUCUGCAACUCGACUCCAUGAAGUUGGAAUUGCUAGUAAUCGCGGGUCAGCAAACCGCGGUGAAUACGUUCUCAAGUCUUGUACUCACCGCCCGUCAAGUCAAGGGAGCCGGGAGUGCCCGAAAUCUCUGCAUUCGCAGGGCCUAAGGUAAAUUCGGUGACAGGGACUAAGUCGUAACAAGGCACGGGUAGCGGAAGCUGCUCGUG
rnacentral:rRNA from 1 species